GCCUGAGGCUGGGCAGCGAUGGCGGCGGUGCUCAUCCGGGAGGCCACGGAGGGAGACUGUGGGGAUAUCAUGAAGAUGAUUCGGGAAUUAGCAGAAUUUGAGAAAUUCUUAGAUCAAGUCAAGAUCAGCGAAGGAGCCCUGAAAACUGAUGGCUUUGGUGAAAAUCCUUUUUAUCACUGUCUAGUGGCUGAGAUUCCUCCAGAGUUCAGGGAAUCCCAGGGUAAGAGCUU